rnacentral:lncRNA from 1 species
UGGAACUAAGAAAACAGCAGUGAUUAAGAAGAGACCAGUAUCACUAUGGUGCAAUCUUCUAUGAAGUAUUUUCUGAGAGCACAAAGAAGCUGUGUUCCAGAGAUAGACCUUGUGCUAGCAGCCAGAUUUGGUAAUGUGUAAGUAUCAUGCAGGUAGAACUGGUUUUGAAAGCAUGAAGGGGACAUGGAGAACAGCUGAGGCUUAGCACUGUGAGAGGACAGCAAAGACUACUGGUGAAGGUACAGACUCUGGGCAGUUGAUGGCCCAGGAAUGAAGGGGUAAUGCAAAGAAGGUGAGGCUUGGCACCGUUAAGUUAUGAGAAACUAGUGAAGCCUAAUUGCAGUGGAAGACUCCAGAAAAUUGGAGGUGCCAGUACUAUGGAAUGAUCACCAAGAAUAGCAGCAGCAGUGGAGUGGAGUCAGUCAGAGCUAGAGUGCUACAGAGGGCAGAGCUGGAGAAGUGACUCAAAUCUUUUGGAGGAGUCCAGAAGAUCAUAUGUGGAUCCAAGACAUUGGCACAAGAAACCGUGAAGUUAAAGUUGCCUUGGAUUCCCAAAAGAAGUAAGAGAUGCCAGAGAUGUGGGAUACUUGCUGAGGGAAGCUGCUAACAGGAAGUUGAAAAAGCCCAAGUGAAAGAGCUGUGUUGCAGUCAACAAAGAUGAAAGGAGUUGGACGUCAGACCUGUAGAUGCAGUUUGGAGUUUGCUCAGCUGGUUUUUGGUCUUGCUUUGAUCCAGUAUUUCUUCACUACGACAUUUUGGAAUGGUUCCAUUCUACAUGCCACAUUGUGCACCCGUCUGUGUCUCCCAAUUGUCUUCUCUGCCCUCAUUUGCCUUGGGCUGAUCUGUUGAAAGUCGCAGAGACCAGGCAGCCCUCUAGUGAGCCCCAGUAACGGAUUUUCUGCAUUCCUCUCUUCAAGCAAAACACUGCUCCAUGAGAACAGAGCAGGUGUGUAGGCACAGCAGCGCCAUCCAAGCUCAUUCUCAGAAAAGAAACAUUUCUUCAAAGAAAGCAUGGCCUGCCC